rnacentral:ncRNA from 2 species
GCAUAAAGCAAUGGUACAGGUGCCCGUAAGGGCUUCAUAGAAAAGCCGGUGCAAGACCGGCGCGGUCCCGCCACUGUAAUGGGGAGCAAAGCCAAGAGAUGCCACUGGGAUACAAGUCCUGGGAAGGUUUGGCAGCGCAAUGAUCCAGAGCCAGGAGAACUGCCUGUACAACAAUCACCGU